rnacentral:rRNA from 1 species
GACGAACGCUGGCGGCGUGCUUAACACAUGCAAGUCGAACGCCCCGCAAGGGGAGUGGCAGACGGGUGAGUAACACGUGGGAACGUACCCUUUGGUUCGGAAUAACUUGGGGAAACUCAAGCUAAUACCGGAUAAGCCCUUAUGGGGAAAGGUUUACUGCCGAAGGAUCGGCCCGCGUCUGAUUAGCUAGUUGGUGAGGUAAUGGCUCACCAAGGCGACGAUCAGUAGCUGGUCUGAGAGGAUGAUCAGCCACACUGGGACUGAGACACGGCCCAGACUCCUACGGGAGGCAGCAGUGGGGAAUAUUGGACAAUGGGGGCAACCCUGAUCCAGCCAUGCCGCGUGAGUGAUGAAGGCCUUAGGGUUGUAAAGCUCUUUUACCCGGGACGAUAAUGACUGUACCGGGAGAAUAAGCCCCGGCUAACUUCGUGCCAGCAGCCGCCGCAG